rnacentral:rRNA from 1 species
UACGUAGGGCGCAAGCGUUAUCCGGAAUUAUUGGGCGUAAAGAGCUCGUAGGCGGUUUUGUCGCGUCUGCCGUGAAAGUCCGGGGCUCAACUCCGGAUCUGCGGUGGGUACGGGCAGACUAGAGUGAUGUAGGGGAGACUGGAAUUCCUGGUGUAGCGGUGAAAAUGCGCAGAUAUCAGGAGGAACACCGAUGGCGAAGGCAGGUCUCUGGGCAUUAACUGACGCUGAGGAGCGAAAGCAUGGGGAGCGAACAGG